UAGAACGAUAAGUAUAAAAGCUUUUCACAGUUUGAUUGACAAGGAUUUUUUUAUUCUCUUUGACUGCUUUCGUACUCACACCUUUCACUUGUAUAACAUUUGGAAUAUCCUCGCUUCGUGUAGACAAUGGUGGUAGGGACAAUGGUGGAAGGUUAAUGGACUGAAUCGGAUCAAACGCUUACGUGAAUCGUCAAUAUUUACGAGCACAAUAAAAGUUUCCAUUUAUAAAAAGGAAUUAGGAAGAAGGGUAAGCACCCCAAUAUCUGAUUGCUGUGAAGCUCUUUGCUUUACUAUCUUCUCGCGACAUACAGGUACUGAGAAGUAUCUGAAGCUUUGGGUUAAGGCAGUCAAAUAUUGAAUUCAUUCAAGUAUAUAAAUCAAUUUUAAAAUGAUGACAUGAUAUAUGCAUAUAUAAUGGCAAGGGAAGAUAAAUUCAGGAGAUAUUUAAAAAUUUGUUCGAAGAAUACGAAAGUUCCUACUCCCCAAAGAUUCGGAGUCAAUUUACGUACGUCCCCAAAUUCUUCACAUAAACAUUUACUUGCAUGAAAAACUGUCUUCAUAAGAGUGAUGGAGUUGGGAUUUCAAGGAUAAUAUGAAACUGAAACACUCUUGAGGAUAAA